GAGGGUAUAGCUGCAUGGUAGAGCACAUGCUUAGCAUGCAUGAAGGCUUGGGUUCAAUCCCAGUACGUCCA
rnacentral:tRNA from 1 species